ensembl:misc_RNA 7SK 7SK RNA
GGGUGUGAGGCCAAUCUGUCAUCCCAUUGAUGGCCAUCCCAUUGAUGGCCAGGGUCAAUGGCCCUGCUGAAGUGGCUAGCUAGGCAGGUGAGUCUCCUUCCUCCCUCAUGGCUCCAUGUGCAUUUCUUCCAGAGCUUUGCAUUUGGUCAAAGAGGACAACCUUCCUGAUAGAGGAGGACAGUACACAAGCAGACGUGCUCCUCUGCUGGAACCCCCAUGCAGAAUCCGUGCAUGAGGAGGAGGAACUGCACGCGAAUCUACACGAACUCAUUUAUGUUUUUAAAAGAGGGAAAACUAAAAAUGAUG